rnacentral:rRNA from 1 species
GACGAACGCUGGCGGCGUGCUUAACACAUGCAAGUCGAACGGAAAGGCCCUGCUUUUGUGGGGUGCUCGAGUGGCGAACGGGUGAGUAACACGUGAGUAACCUGCCCUUGACUUUGGGAUAACUUCAGGAAACUGGGGCUAAUACCGGAUAUGAGCUCCUGCUGCAUGGUGGGGGUUGGAAAGUUUCGGCGGUUGGGGCUGGACUCGCGGCUUAUCAGCUUGUUGGUGGGGUAGUGGCUUACCAAGGCUUUGACGGGUAGCCGGCCUGAGAGGGUGACCGGCCACAUUGGGACUGAGGUACGGCCCAGACUGCUACGGGAGGCAGCAGUGGGGAAUAUUGCACAAUGGGCGGAAGCCUGAUGCAGCAACGCCGCGUGCGGGAUGACGGCCUUCGGGUUGUAAACCGCUUUCGCCUGUGACGAAGCGUGAGUGACGGUAAUGGGUAAAGAAGCACCGGCUAACUACGUG